GAUGAACGCUGGCGGCGUGCCUAAUACAUGCAAGUCGAGCGAACAGACGAGGAGCUUGCUCCUCUGACGUUAGCGGCGGACGGGUGAGUAACACGUGGAUAACCUACCUAUAAGACUGGGAUAACUUCGGGAAACCGGAGCUAAUACCGGAUAAUAUAUUGAACCGCUUGGUUCAAUAGUGAAAGACGGUUUUGCUGUCACUUAUAGAUGGAUCCGCGCCGCAUUAGCUAGUUGGUAAGGUAACGGCUUACCAAGGCAACGAUGCGUAGCCGACCUGAGAGGGUGAUCGGCCACACGGGAACUGAGACACGGUCCAGACUCCUACGGGAGGCAGCAGUAGGGAAUCUUCCGCAAUGGGCGAAAGCCUGACGGAGCAACGCCGCGUGAGUGAUGAAGGUCUUCGGAUCGUAAAACUCUGUUAUUAGGGAAGAACAAAUGUGUAAGUAACUAUGCACGUCUUGACGGUACCUAAUCAGAAAGCCACGGCUAACUACGUG
rnacentral:rRNA from 1 species